rnacentral:rRNA from 1 species
UACGGGGGGGGCAAGCGUUGUUCGGAAUUACUGGGCGUAAAGGGUUCGUAGGUGGCUUGUUAAGUCAGACGUGAAAUCCCUCGGCUCAACCGGGGAACUGCGUCUGAGACUGAUGAGCUCGAGUGCAGGAGAGGAACGCGGAAUUCCAGGUGUAGCGGUGAAAUGCGUAAAUAUCGAGAGGAACACCUGCGGCGAAGGCGGGUUGCUGGGCUGAUACUGACGCUGAUGCGCGAAAGCGUGGGGAGCGAACAGG